rnacentral:piRNA from 1 species
UAGCCAGCCAAAAGGGAACAGG